rnacentral:rRNA from 1 species
AUUGAACGCUGGCGGCAUGCCUUACACAUGCGAGUCGAACGGCAGCACGGGUGCUUGCACCUGGUGGCGAGUGGCGAACGGGUGAGUAAUAUAUCGGAACGUACCUUAUUGUGGGGGAUAACGCAGCGAAAGCUGUGCUAAUACCGCAUAAUCCCUAAGGGGGAAAGCGGGGGACCGUAAGGCCUCGCGCAAUUAGAGCGGCCGAUACCUGAUUAGCUAGUUGGUGAGGUAAAGGCUCACCAAGGCAACGAUCAGUAGCUGGUCUGAGAGGACGAUCAGCACACUGGGACUGAGACACGGCCCAGACUCCUACGGGAGGCAGCAGUGGGGAAUUUUGGACAAUGGGGGCAACCCUGAUCCAGCAAUGCCGCGUGAGUGAAGAAGGCCUUCGGGUUGUAAAGCUCUUUUGUCAGGGAAGAAACAGCAGCUCUAACACAGUUUGCGAAUGACGGUACCUGAAGAAUAAGCACCGGCUAACUACGUGCCAGCCGCCGCCGUAA